rnacentral:tRNA from 1 species
GGACUUGUAGCUUAAUGGAUAGAGCAUCUGACUACGGAUCAGAAGGUUGGGGGUUCGACUCCCUCCAAGUUCACAA